rnacentral:lncRNA from 1 species
AUUCCAGGGAUGAGAUCCAAUGUUCAGCCUCCUGCUCUGAUGUCCAGAUCCACUCAGACCUCAGCAGCAGUGGAGAGGAGCAGCCGGACGCCACAGCACCGUGAGAACCUUCUUUAUUCAACCAGUUCAGAGUUCUCAGUGAGAGAAACGUCUCUGAUUUAUAUCAACUAAACAGCUUCCUCACAUUCACAUCAGGGAAAGGAAACCAGGAGAGACACUGGUUAUGAUGAACAUGGCAAAAAUCAUCAUGAAAUCUGGUGAAAAGAGGUUAAAAGUGACAAUAAUGGGUCAACAUAUAAACAUUAGGUGUAAAAGUGGUAGAAAGGGUUUAUAAGUGCUGAACAUGUCUGGAAAGUGGAAAAAAUGUGUAGAAAAGACAUUAAAAUGUGAUGUAGAAGUGUCAGAAAUGGGAGUAAUGUAGCAAAUAUAAAUUAAAAGGAGCAAAAAUAUGGAAAGAAAAAGUGAUGAAAAUAGGUUAAAAUAUGGUGAGUUUGGUGAAGUUACAGAAAAAUGAUAAAAAUAAGCAAAAAUGGGCUGAAAUUGUUCAAAAGAUAUUCACACACACACACACACACACACACACUUUCUUCUGACUGAGCACUCACUGAAUGGAGCUCCUAACCUGCUUUAUGAUUGGCAGACUGUUGCAGAGACUCCGCCCCUCAUCGGGUCAGACCAGUGAAGAGCCAACACAACCGUGCUCUUUUUCUACGCCAGUUUCUGCCAGGGUGUCCACCUCAAAAACUGUUCUACCCCUCCCCUCACAGCGGGUCACGGUUGGGGUUUUGAGGUCACACUGAGGCCACGCCCUCAUUGGACAGAGCCAUCAGAGCCGCUGAGAGCAUGAAGAGAUCGUCCAGUCGCAUGGUUGACUCUCUGUCUGCAGGCCUGCACCUCCGGCAGCACCUCGCUACCCCGCUCUGGACUCAAUCUUGAUGAUGUGAUCAUCCAACAGUUUAAGAGCUUUCUCAGUGUUGAGGAUAGAGAGAAGCGUUUGAUGUGUUCCUGCACUCAGCACUUCCUGUCCUAUGGAAAAACGCUCAUUUAAAUAUGGCGUCUAUAGUAGUGGGCGUGCACUGUAACGUUUCUCACUCAACGUUCUUGAAGCCAAAAUACGACACUUAGGGGCGUUUCCAUCUUGCAGACUACUAGUGGCUCAGUGUUAGUGAAUCUGGGUCAUCAAUGGUCCAACUUAUCAUCAAGUCCAACACCUGGUGCUGAUGGUGUGAAGAAAAGCUGAAAGAGCUGAUGGAGAAUCACACGCUCUCAGGAACAUG